AUCCUUUCAGCCCGGCCCAUAUUUGUUUUCUUCCUCGAUAAGAACUCAGAAACAUUGGUGUCGAUUCUGCGAUUGAUUUUCCUCACUCGCUACCAGAUUAACGCGACCCUCAUGACUUGUCGCCUUCCUCUAACAUCUCCAAAGUUGAAACCCAACUGUGCCAAGCGCGUGACCGCGAGUGGACAACCCAGUACCCUGCACUCUUUUGUCUCCUUCCUCUUCGACUUCGCUCGUACAUUUCCUGCAGUUGGCUCUCGUCCUUGGCUCGCGUGGACGGGUGCCAUGUCAAGCUUCAAGGAUGACGGAUCUAUCCCAGUCGUCCAUCUCUCUCCAAAUCUGUUGGGAAGAAAGAAUCAUUUCAGAAUAUUCUCUAAAUUUGAGGGGAUAAGGUUUUGUGGCUGAGACGAUUCUACCCUUUCCCCCCAUUUUUGAAAACCUAGUCCCCUUCCAAUAUAAUGUUCAGUUGGUUCUUUGGAGCAAGGGGAUUUUUUUUUUUUUUGGAUUUUUUUUCGACUGAUACUCUUAUCUUGGUUUAAAAAUUUCAUAGCGAGAAAUAUUCAUGACAUACUAAAGAAGAUACAGGGAGGAGUGUAUACAUAAAGGAUUCUUUUUGGCUCAAAGUUUCAGACCUGUCUUUCUGAUUUCCUACUUGUUUGUUUGUAUUUCGAGAUUUUUAGAGAAAUCUCCGCCUUCCCAACUCGUUUUGUCCGUUUGCUGCUCCUCGAAAGGUUCCCCGAAGCCUGGAAAUGGGAUGUUAUACUCGUUUUAUACACCGAUAUACAAGUCAAAACAUGCAUAGGGGGCCAAACUCGAAAUUAAGGUUGAUAACAGUGAAGAUAUACUGUUGCAAAAUUUUUCCAGCUUUCGAAAGUCGAAGAACAAGUGGAUAUACCAUCUGUAUACACUGGUAUACAGAUGCGUUAUACCACAGAUAGGUGUAAAACAUGAAAAUGCGGGUUUAACUUGCAGGGAUGUCGAACUCAAGUAAAAUGCAGGAACAAUGAAUAAAUACAUACAUAGAAUAUAGCCCGUAUAUAUCGAUAUACACGCUUUAUACAGUGAUAUACAAACAUAAUGCAGUUCACAGGUUCAAAAUACUGAGAAGCAGGUUGAAAAAUGCAGAACGUGAAAUUCAAGUCGAGACAGAUUUUGGGAGUGCAGUAAUGGGUGAUAUACAUGGUAUAUACAUCAGAUAUGCACUUUGUGUAUAUCUUUCCAUUUACAAAUAAAAGGAGCCCAAAGGGCUUUAAAAAAUAGCCCAGCAGCAGAAUUGUAAUUAAAUAGGCCCAAAAUAAAGUCUUGGAUACUUUUAGUAAUGGGAAAAUUGUAUAUAAUAGCAAAUUAAUAACCUAAAAUAAAUGGAGUAGCUAGGGUUUGAUUUAA